AAGUCGUAACAAGGUUUCCGUAGGUGAACCUGCGGAAGGAUCAUUAACGAAUAAACUUAGUCGAGUUGUUGCUGGUCUCUUUUUAAGGACAUGUGCACGCUUUGACUUGUUUUUCUCAAUCACCUGUGCACCUUUUGUAGACUUUGGAGUACUUUGAAACCCUUAAUCUUGGGUUUCACAAUUGGGGUUGGUGCGUUUAGCUCUCCCUGCUUCUCCACAGUCUAUGUCUUUUUAUAUACCCUUAACAUGCUAAGAAUGUAUUUUUGGGCUUUUUUGAAGCCUAUAAAAUUUUAUACAACUUUCAACAACGGAUCUCUUGGCUCUC
rnacentral:misc_RNA from 1 species